UACGUAGGGUGCGAGCGUUAAUCGGAAUUACUGGGCGUAAAGUGUGCGCAGGCGGCCGCGCAAGUCGAGUGUGAAAGCCCCGGGCUUAACUUGGGAAUUGCGCUCGAAACUACGUGGCUGGAGUAUGGCAGAGGAAGGUGGAAUUCCACGUGUAGCGGUGAAAUGCGUAGAGAUGUGGAGGAACACCGAUGGCGAAGGCAGCCUUCUGGGCCAACACUGACGCUCAUGCACGAAAGCGUGGGGAGCAAACAGG
rnacentral:rRNA from 1 species